rnacentral:misc_RNA from 1 species
AUGGGAUUCUGACAUCUUCCAUCCACAUCCAGAAUCAAGAUUCGUCUCUCGGAGAUAUCUUUCCUCAGUAUACUCUAAAAGAUGGAUCCCCAUGAUGAGGCUGGAUGCCAAGCUCCCCCCGAAGGUCCUUUCCUGUGCAUCAACAACUGUGGCUUCUUUGGUAGUGCAGCCACUAAGAACAUGUGCUCCAAGUGUCAUAAAGAUAUGAUGCUGAAACAAGAUCAGGCUAAGCUUGCUGCUUCAUCUAUUGAAAAUUUUGUCAAUGGAUCGUCUAGUAGCAGUAAGGAAGUGCCCGAAAGUGUUACCGAUGGUGCCAUUUCUGUGGAACCAAAGACUAUUCAGUCACAUGCACUGCCUGCAAUGGGAUCUGUGGAGGGUGAGAAACCAAAUGAGGGUCCAAAACGUUGCAACUCUUGCAAUAAGCGUGUCGGUUUAACAGGCUUCAACUGUCGGUGUGGUAAUGUAUUUUGUGCGGUUCAUCGUUACUCUGACAAACAUGACUGCCCUUUUGAUUAUCGCAUGGCUGCACAAAACGCCAUAUCCAAAGCCAAUCCUGUUGUCAAGGCCCAGAAGCUCGAUAAGAUCUAGAUUUCUCGACAUGUAUGUGUCCUAAAUUGAUGUUCAUAUCCAGCUGUGAGGUCGGUUUCUGAUAUGCUGCAAAUCUAUGUAUUGUGGCUUUAUGUUCAUAUAUAUGCUGAAGAUAUUGCAGUUACAAGAUAUCUGAAUUCUGAAAUUUCUAUUUGCUUUGUGAUUCUUUGUUUGUGCUUGUCUUAAUGGACAUCAUCG